rnacentral:rRNA from 1 species
GAUGAACGCUGGCGGCGUGCCUAAUACAUGCAAGUCGAGCGAACAGACGAGGAGCUUGCUCCUCUGACGUUAGCGGCGGACGGGUGAGUAACACGUGGAUAACCUACCUAUAAGACUGGGAUAACUUCGGGAAACCGGAGCUAAUACCGGAUAAUAUAUUGAACCGCAUGGUUCAAUAGUGAAAGACGGUUUUGCUGUCACUUAUAGAUGGAUCCGCGCCGCAUUAGCUAGUUGGUAAGGUAACGGCUUACCAAGGCAACGAUGCGUAGCCGACCUGAGAGGGUGCUCGGCCACACUGGAACUGAGACACGGUCCAGACUCCUACGGGAGGCCGCAGUAGGGAAUCUUCCGCAAUGGGCGAAAGCCUGACGGAGCAACGCCGCGUGAGUGAUGAAGGUCUUCGGACCGUAAAACUCUGUUAUUAGGGAAGAACAAAUGUGUCAGUAACUAUGCACGUCUUGACGGUACCUAAUAAGAAAGCCACGGCUAACUACGUG